rnacentral:rRNA from 1 species
AUUGAACGCUGGCGGCAGGCUUAACACAUGCAAGUCGAGCGGAGUGAUGGUGCUUGCACUAUCACUUAGCGGCGGACGGGUGAGUAAUGCUUAGGAAUCUGCCUAUUAGUGGGGGACAACAUCUCGAAAGGGAUGCUAAUACCGCAUACGUCCUACGGGAGAAAGCAGGGGAUCACUUGUGACCUUGCGCUAAUAGAUGAGCCUAAGUCGGAUUAGCUAGUUGGUGGGGUAAAGGCCUACCAAGGCGACGAUCUGUAGCGGGUCUGAGAGGAUGAUCCGCCACACUGGGGCUGAGCCACGGCCCAGACUCCGACGGGAGGCAGCAGUGGGGAAUAUUGGACAAUGGGGGGAACCCUGAUCCAGCCAUGCCGCGUGUGUGAAGAAGGCCUUAUGGUUGUAAAGCACUUUAAGCGAGGAGGAGGCUCUUUUGGUUAAUACCCAAGAUGAGUGGACGUUACUCGCAGAAUAAGCACCGGCUAACUCUGUGCCAGCAGCCGCAGUAA